UACGGAGGAGGCAAGCGUUAUCCGGAAUUAUUGGGCGUAAAGCGUCCGUAGGUGGCUAGUCAAGUCUGCGGUCAAAGACUGGGGCUUAACCCUGGAAAGGCCGUGGAAACUGACGAGCUAGAGUGCAGUAGGGGUAGAGGGAAUUCCCGGUGUAGCAGUGAAAUGCGUAGAGCUCGGGAAGAACAUCGGUGGCGAAAGCGCUCUACUGGACUGCAACUGACACUCAGGGACGAAAGCUAGGGGAGCGAAUGGG
rnacentral:rRNA from 1 species